UACGUAGGGGGCAAGCGUUGUCCGGAGUUACUGGGCGUAAAGCGCACGUAGGCGGUUCGUUAUGUCGGAUGUGAAAGCCCUUGGCUUAACCGAGGAAGUGCAUCCGAAACUGGCGAGCUAGAGUACGAAAGAGGAUCGCGGAAUUCCCGGUGUAGAGGUGAAAUUCGUAGAUAUCGGGAGGAACACCGGUGGCGAAGGCGGCGAUCUGGGUCGAUACUGACGCUGAGGGUGCGAAACGGUGGGGACAACAGG
rnacentral:rRNA from 1 species